AGGCCAAUCAGCGCCCCCAGUACUGGAGGGCAUGAACAGCAACUAGGAGGUCGGCCGCCGGCCAUUAAAUCCACCAGCUUAUCAACUUAUCGUCUCGUUUAAGUUAUCAAGUCUCGUGUGGCAGUUUAAGUUACCAGUCUCGUAUGGUGGUUUAGAACUUUAGAUUAUGGUCGUGAGAUGAGAUGGAACCUACCGAAUGUCUAUCUAUCUAUGUUGCGUAUCGUCAUUCGCUUAUGGCUGUUGAACAUGUACUAGUAUGGUUUAACCAACUGCAGUGGUGAAAUGCAGUAGUAUUGUUUAAUCAUUUGGCCGAUUUCACAUGAAUGAUAUCCAUCUUUUAUCCCAUAUACUCGAUGUGCGUGGUGGAAUACUGAUGAUGUGUUUUCUUCAUUUCUACACCUUCUCAUAUCUUUGCCUUGUUUAUAGUCUUGUGAAUCAUUUAGAUGUGUAAACAUGCUGGACUUAAGUGCUUGUGAAUGUUAGCUAGUAUGCAUACCGUAUCUUGUGAAGCUUAGUUUGAAUGUUAGUGUGUCAACCUUUACAAUCUAUGUACAUUGUGGGCAUGUUAUUUGACCCCUCAUUUUGUUGCGCUAUGACCAGUGUGAGUGUCUGCAUGCAGUACCGCAUCCUCUAAUUUGGUGGAUGCCAAGCCGGCCAGAGAAGGAGCUAUAGCCUUUUUCCAAGUUGAAAAAGGUUAUCGAUAAGUAUCCAUAAGCUGGAGGCGUCUUUUUUUUCUUUCAAAUGGGAAAUAAGCUGGAGAGCUGGAGAGUGUCUCUAAUGGGCAGCCGACUAGGCAGAUACAAAAGCAUAUCCAUCUUAAAGCCCAUUUGUUUUUGUUUUUUGAAGAAAAGCCCAUAUUUCUUAAAGAGGGGGCGAUCCUGGAAAAACCCUCCUUCCUCCUCACUUCCACUUAUACUGCAGCUCGAUGGACUCUCCCGCUUCUGUCGCCCCCCAAUUCCCCCCGCUCCCCAUCUUCCUCACUCGUACGGAAAACUCCUACUCGCCUUCUUCCUCACUCGUACAGAAAAUGCCUGCUCCUCAUCUUCCAAUCCUACAGAAAACCUCAGCCCUUCUUCUUCCCCACUCGCACUGUCACUAAGCUCAUCUCUCGCUACUCUGCUCAAACCCGUGAGCUCAGCGCGACGCCCGCAAGGAAAAUGUAGUCGGCUGGCCCCACUGCUGAGAAGAUGAGGCUCCCGCUAGCAGCGAUGCCGGUUGUAAAUCCCGCACCCGGCAGUGCGGGGNNNNNNNNNNNNNNNNNNNNNNNNNNNNNNNNNNNNNNNNNNNNNNNNNNNNNNNNNNNNNNNNNNNNNNNNNNNNNNNNNNNNNNNNNNNNNNNNNNNNNNNNNNNNNNNNNNNNNNNNNNNNNNNNNNNNNNNNNNNNNNNNNNNNNNNNNNNNNNNNNNNNNNNNNNNNNNNNNNNNNNNNNNNNNNNNNNNNNNNNNNNNNNNNNNNNNNNNNNNNNNNNNNNNNNNNNNNNNNNNNNNNNNNNNNNUCUCCCAGAUGACGUCCUUGGGGAGAUCAUCUCCCUUCUCCCCACCAAGGAUGGCUGCCGCACACAAGUCCUCGCAUCUCCUUGGUGCACUCUCUAGCGCACCGCGCCUCUUAAUCUCGACCGUCGUCAGAUAUCCGUCUUCCUGAAUUUGAUCUCCUCAGGGCCAUCGUCUCCUCCCAAUAGGGCCCCGUUCAAUGCAUUUGCAUCCCAACACGCUACCUGUUGUCCAUACCCCAUAUGGUGGACGCCUGGCUGACAUCCACUGAAUUCAAAAAACUCCAGCAGCUUGAGUUCUACCAUUACUACAAAAAAUAUAUGUCGUGAUCCCAGCUCCAUGUAUUUGUGCCAACACCACAGUUGUCCAUCUCGUGGUUUUCCUCCUCUCUCCACACCCUCACCAUAGCUUGGUGCCAUCUACUAGACAAUCUGGUACUAAUGAUUCGACUCCCACUGCUAAAAAGACUUUCACUUGUGGUGGUUGAUCUGUCGGAGGCCUCACUACACAGCAUCAUCCAAUCCGGUUGCCAUGCCCUGGAGCGCUUGCUGCUUGUUUUUGGAUUAGAAAUCCGUAUCCAUUGCCUCCAAAUAAAGUUGCCUCACCUUAAAAGCAUUAGAAUUUAUUUUGAAGGACAUCAACUCACAUCAUCAAAGAUGCCCCUUCACUUCAAAGGUUGCUCCUUGAUUAUUGUUAUAAACCUUCGCAAAUAACUGUCAUCUCUGCGCCUAAACUUGAGGCCUUCGGUGUAAUUCGUGAUCUGUUUCUACAUCACAACAUGUUGUUUGGCUCCACACUUAUUCAGGUACUGUAUAUUAUCAUCUACACUUUUGUAAUCACAAGCUGCAUUUUUUAUUUGUGCGCAUACGUUUUAUAUCAUCUUGGAGUACACUUUGGAUGCUAAUAUUAUGCUAUAUGCUCAAUGAAGAGUUCGUCCAUCAGUAGCCUAUCAACGGUGUUGGAUUCUGUCAAGAUCUUAUAUAUUAGAAUGUCUAGUAUUGAUCUGAACAGAAUUAUUGGCUUGUUGCGAUGCUUUCCAUGUCUGGAGAAUUUGUAUAUAGAGGUGAUUACUUCAUGCACAUUGAAAGCCCAUAUAUAUUGUAAUAGAAUUACCGUUCGGCUGUCGCUCUAUCGACAUACUCUUUUUUAGACCUUGACUAUUUUCAAUCUUCAUGUCUAUGUAGGCAGCAACACAUGGAGAAAAACGUAUAACUAAUCGGUGGCGUAAUAAGCACUGGGAGUUUCUCAGUUCUCAUGACAUUCGUUUGAGGACAAUAAAAAUGGAAGGUUAUGCAUCCAAUCAGGCAAACAGAAACUUCGUCAUAUUCUUCCUGUUGAAUGCGAGGUUACUAUUGUCCAUGAGACUUAAGUUUUUCAAUAAGAAAUUUCUCACUGACAGACAUGUUGAACAAAAAUAAAAGAAGUUUCAGGUGGACAAAUGGGCUUCUGAACGUGCUCGACUUCUAUUUACAACAACUUGUCAUCAUGUUCCAAUAAAUUUUUUGGCACAGGAUGUUGAUUUUAUGGAUCAGACCGAUCCAUUUGUUUGUGACUGCCAAAACAGCGGUUGGGUUAGAUGUUAUUGCCAUGUUCAAUCUGGAUUUUGUCUAAAUUUGAUGAACAAUUAAUUCUUGGGCUUUUGUACCCUUUGUAAGCUUGAGUUACAUGUUGUUGCCCUCGUACUCCCCUCCGCCUGCCACUACACUGUCGCAUCUUCCAUGGCUCUUGUCCGUUCCUGUCCGAGGCCUCGCCAUCGUUCUCCGCCUUGGUUCGCUUGUUGUGCCUGCCGCCAUCUAGCAUUGUCAACAUGGUCAACAACCGAGAGGAAUCAGGAGAUGACUGUACGUGGAGAGGCUGACAAUAGGGAUCCAUCAGGGUCAUGGCAUUACGCAAGAAGGUGCCUCGUUAUUACAAGCCAAAAAAAAUACUUCCUCCUAAUUGUUUGACAUCUAGGUCCCACGCCAUUGUCAAUGUAGUCAAUAAACAAGAAAAUUACACAACGAGCGGCUAACACUAGGGGCCCAGCAACUCGCCCAGUUGUAUUUUAGUUUUAGAGAUAGAGCUCAACUACGCGUUGUGCGGGGUUUGUGACCCGUGUAGCCCACACUUUUAUUUAAGCACAUGACGAGCCCAGUUGAUAUCUGUUUUCUUUCUGAAAAUGGCUAGCCCAGUUCUAUUUUUUUGAAGAAUAACCAACCGAGGCCUACUUGCUUUUCUCAGCCUUACUGGGCUGCAAAUCUUUCAAGACGAGGAUAGAUGUAUUCGGCUUCCGCAGAAAAUGGGUUAUAAGUAGUAAGAAAUGGGCUGAAAACAAUGGCAAAUGGGAUGUAUGCUGUUUUCCACAGAUUUGGAGGCUGACUUGUGGGCCUACUAGGUUGACGAUGACGCUAUCCUAAAAAAUAAUUUUGACGCGUACGCAAGGCUUUGUCAAAUUAGUCAAUACAGAGCAGUGGUUGUUGGAUGUCCAUCCAACGGCCAUCAUGCUUCUUCAAUCUUUAAUCUUCCUACUCCAGUCGCCCAAACCAGCGUGGGCGGGACUGCUUGCUCCCUCCUUGCGUGGCCGGCUAUGCUUCCGCUAGGCCAUCCCUCUACCCACCCGCACCUCCUGUUAUUUUUCCACGGCAUUAGCCUCACCCCACAGCCGACCAACCAGCCCACGUACUCCCCUCAGCGUGGGCAUCCGAUGUUGUGCCUUCACCGGCUCUGGGUCAUUCCCUUCCUCGGCCUCACUGUCGUCCACCGCGUUGGUGCUCUCGGCGCGGCGUGGUCAACAUGGUCAACAAAAAACAGCCAUCGGAAGAGGGAUGUAAGUAGAGAGGCUGACAGUAGGGACCCACACAAGCAAGUGCCUCCUUAUUAUGCAAAACAAUGAUUGCUCCUACUGACAUCUGGGAUCCAUCAGCUGUAUCUUCACAUGGAAGGAAGUGCCUCCUUGUUAAGCAAAAAAAAUUGUUCCUCCCGGUGACAGCUGGGACCCGACAGAUUUGGUGGCUGACUUGUGGGCCUACUAAUCUGACGCGUACGCAGGGCUUUGUCAACUUAAUCAACAAAUGAUUCUAGCAGCUAGACCGUUGGAUGUUAAUCCAAGGGUUGUGCUGCUUCUUCAACCUCUGAUCUUGCUCCUGUCUCUCGUGGGCGGCAGUGCUGCCACGCACCCGAACCAGUCCAGUUUCCCACUCCUCUUCAUCUGCGACUCCACUGCCGCGUCUUCCUCAUCUCCAGGUCGUUCCAGUCUGGCGCCUCGUCGUCGUCCAUUGGCCUUGGCGUGCUCGGCACGGUGUGCUCAACAUGGUCAACAAAUGAGAGUCAUCGGAAGAUGACUAUACGUGGAGAGGCUGACAGUGGGGAGGCAUCACGCCCAUGGACGCAUGCAUGCAACUUCGUCCUUUUUAACCUGAAAAUUAAUGUUGUCUCCCCCUGACAGCUGGGACCCAGCAGCUACAUCUUCGCACACAAGGAAGUGCGUCCUUACUACAUGCAAAAAUAAUAAUUCUUCCCCCUGACAUCUGGGACCCAUCAGCUAUAUCUUCGCACGCAAGGAAGUGCCUCCUUAUCCUCCCUAACAGCUGGGACCCACCUGGUCGAACCGUACGUAGGGUUGUCUCUCUGGUAGCGAACAUGUACAUACAUACUGUGGUCGAUCGGUCUCUCUGCAAGGAUGAACCAUGGCCGAGCAAGGAGCAACACGUGUGACGUAGCUGUUGAGGCAGUCUUGUAUGAAUCAUGUACACAUACGUACAUCCAUGCUGCAAGAAAGUAAAUACAGCUACGUAUGUACAUACGGGCGGGGUCUCGAAUGCGUACAGCAACAGCAUCCUGUUCAUCGGCAGCCAACCGGCUGGGUCGGAACGGAGAAACAAUGUCGUGUUCAUUGGGAGGCAAAAGACUGGCUCGGAAUGCGUCGUGUUCAUCGAGAGCCAACCGGCUUGGACGGAACAGCCGAAACAGGGUCUGGCAUACCGCAGAACGGAGUAAACGGCCUUCUGUUCGACCGGCUACGGUCGAAACGGGAUCCUGUUGAUCGGGAGGGGUUUGGCGUACCGCAAAACGGAGGAAACAGACUUGUGUUCGAGCUCCUACGGUCGAAAUGGGGUCCUGUUGAUCGGGAUGGGUGUGGCGUACCGCAAAACGGAGGAAACAGACUUGUGGAGUGACUACUGUCAAAACGGGGUCCUAUUCAUCCACCGUCUACUACCUCGUUCCAGCCUCCACGGGCUACUAUUCAUCCACCGUCGACUUCCUCCAGGCUCCACUUGCUACUGUUCACCCACCAUCGACUUCCUCCAGCCUCCACCAGCUAUUGUUCAGCACGGGGUCAUGUUCAUCCAGUCUCCACCGGCUACUGUUCAACCAGCCCUCCACACGGGGUCCUAUUCAACCAGCCCUCCACGGCGUCCUAUUCAUCCACCCACAACCGACUCGGGUGUGUGGCGACCUCCACUCGAUCAGGGUCCGGUUCAUCCAGCGGCAACGGCCUCUACUACCGCGGGGUCCUGUUCAUCCAAUCCCCACCGAGAACUGUUCAUCCAACCACAACCACGUAUGUCUCGACUCGUUCAACCAACUCCCAAGCUCACUGUUCAUCAAGAGGCGGCAGGUUCGAUCGGCUUCAGUAAGCAGCAGCAGCAGCGAUCGAUCGCUCGGCUUAAGUUAGCAGCAGUACCGAAGGAAUCGCUCGGGUUCAGUUAACAGCCAAGGGAUCGAUCGCUCAGGUUCAGUAACACGUGUAGCUAGUGCAAUCGCUCGGGUCCAGUUAGAGCCAACGCCUUGCACACACGCGCGUACAUGUACGAGAGAAACAUGCAAACCUCCCUGCAUUGCUCGGCCCCGACCACCCAUCGUAACCAAGAACUCCCCGAAAUGUUUCUCGCCCUCGCUUCUACCAUGAUUUUUUUUGUCAUGGACGGCCCAAAGAAUGUCAUGCAGGUGCGUCCACGGCCCGCCCAGGAUGAAAAGCCCAUUUUCUGUCAUGAUUUUUUGUCAUAGAAGUAGGAGCCCACCACAUCUAUGAUGAUACAUGCUUUUGUCACAAUUAUCGUCAUAGAAGUGUCAUAAGCAUGACAGGAAAAAAUUCGUUCAACCCAAAAUGUCACGGAUGUGUCUUUUUUUGUAGUGUGAUCAAAUUUAUGCACUAUGCUAGCAUUCACAAUUCAUAAAUUAUUUCUUUUAUCAUUUACCUACUGGAGGACGAGCAGGAAUUAAGCUUGGGAAUGCUGAUACGUCUCCAAUGUAUCUAUAAUUAUGAAGUAUUCAUGCCAUGUUUACAAUAAUUUUAUAUGGUUUUUGUAUUGUUUGAUUAGAAUUAAUCCGGACUGACGUUGUUUUCAACAGAACUACCGUGGUGUCAUUUUUUGUGCAGAAAUAAAAGUUCUUGAAGUGGGCUGAAUAUUUACGGUCAUUUUUUGUGGACCAAAAGAGACCCCCGAAGCUUCGUGGGAAGACCAGAAGACCCACGGGGAAACGACAAGCUCGCUAGGCACGCCCUACCCCCCUAGGGAGGGGCAACCGAGCUUGUCGUUGCCUCGUGGAGCCCCUUGACGUGAGACUAACGCCAAAAAUUCCUAUAAAUACCCAAACCCCCAGAAAGAACCCUAGAUGAGAAGUACCGCCGCCGCAAGUCUCUGUAGACACAAAAAUCCAAUUAGGAGCCCGUUCAGGCACCCUGCCGGAGGGGGAAAUCAUCACCUGGAGGCCAUCUUCUUCAUCUUGAUGGCUACCAUGAUGAGGAGAGAGUAGUUUGCCCUUGAGGCUGAGGGUAUGUACUAGUAGCUAUAUCUUUGUUCCCUCUCUCUCGUGUUCUUGAUUUCGCACGAUCUUGAUGUACCGUGAGCUUUGUUAAUAUAUUUGGAUCUUAUGGUGUUCUUCCCUCUCUACCUUCUUGUGAUGAAUUGAGUCCAGCUCUUUGAGGUUUCAUUAUGUUGGAUUUAGUACUGGAUUUGAGAACACUUGAUGUAUGUCUUGCGAUGGGAUAUCUGUGGUGACAAUGGGAUGUUCUAUUGAUUCAUUUGAUGUAUGUUUGUCACUCAACUCGCGGAUCUGCGAGGUGACAUUGGGGUAAUCUAUGCAUAGGGGUUGAUGCAUGUUUUCGUCCUACGUUCUCCGAUAGGAACUUUGGAGUGAUUCUUUGUUGCACGUUGAGAGAUUGUUAUAUGAUCCAAUUAUGUUAUCAUUGUUGAGAUAUUUUGCGCUAGUGAAAGUGUGAACCCUAGGCCUUGUUUUCAAGCAUUGCAAUACCGUUUUUGCUCAUUUUUACUACUUGCUACCAUGUUGUUCUUACAUUUUUUUGAUUAUAAAAACCUAUAUCUACUAUCCAUAUUACACUUGUAUCACCAUCUCUUCGCCGAACUAGUGCACCUAUACUAUUUACCAUUGUAUUGGGUGUGUUGGUGACACAAGAGACUCUUUAUUACUACCUCCGUCCGGGUUUAUUGGGCCCCUUCGUAUCUUGGGUUAGACUUUCACUAUCUAUAAAUUUCUAAAAUAUAAAGUAUAUGCUAUAAAAAUAUUAUAAUGUUGGAUUUUUAUUAGAAAGAGCUUCCCGACAAUAUAAUUUUUGUGACAUAUAGUUUACGUUUUGUUAGUUAGAUUUAUAGGUCAAACAUUACCCCAAAAUAAGAGGGGGCCUAAUAAACCCGGACAGAAGGAGUAUUUGGUUGCAGGGUUGUUUGAGAGAGACCAUCUUCAUCCUAAGCCUCCCACAAAUUGAUAAACCUUAGGUCAUCCACUUGAGGGAUAUUUGCUAUUGUCCUACAAAACUCUACGCUUGGAGGCCCAACACGAGUCAAUGAGAAGAAAUGUUGUGUAGUAGACAUCAGUGUCUCAUAUCCGGCACCUUAUAUCCAUACUACCCAUGCACACAUUGAUCUAUCUUACAAGAACACUUGAUGUAUGUCUUGCGAUGGGAUAUCUGUGGUGACAAUGAGAUGUUCUAUUGAUUCACUUGAUGUAUGUUUUGGCACUCAACUAUCGGAUUCCGGAGGUGACGUUGGGGUAAUAUAUGCAUUGGAGUAAUGUAUUUCUUGAUUUAUGUUGAUGCACGUUUUCGUCCUCCGUUCUCCGAUGGGGACUUUGGAGUGAUUCUUUGGUGCACGUUGAGGGGUUGUUAUAUGAUCCAAUUAUGUUAUCAUUGUUGAGAGAUUUUGCACUAGUGAAAGUAUGAACCCUAGGCCUUGUUUUCAAGCAUUGCAAUAUCGUUUUUGCUCGUUUUUACUACUUGCUACAUUACUGUUUUUAUAUCUUCUAAUUAUAAAAACCUAUAUCUACUAUCCAUAUUACACUUGUAUCACCAUCUCUUGGCCGAACUAGUGCAUCUAUACUAUCUAUCAUUGUAUUGAGUGUGUUGGGGACACAAGAGACUCUUUGUUAUUUGGUUGUCAUGUUGUUUGAGAGAGACCAUCUUCAUUCUACGCCUCCCACAAAUUGAUAAACCUUAGGUCAUCCACUUGAGGGAAAUUUGCUAUUGUCCCACAAAACUCUGCGCUUGGAGGCCCAACACGAGUCCGCAAGAAGAAAGGUUGUGUAGUAGACAUCAAUAUCUCAUAUCCGGCACCUUAUAUCCAUACGACCCAUGCACACAUUGAUCUAUCCUACAUGAUCAAAUGACGGACAACAAAAUUGAGCUGCAAAGAAACACGAGAUCGGCUGCAAACGGACAUAACAUACUUCACCACAUCCAAAAGAUCAUAUAGUUUGUCCACAGACAAGUUCAUAAAGUUCUAUAGCUAAAAACGAUAUAAAAAUCGAGGAGGAGGGGAUGGAAUCACCACUUCCUCGCCGGGCCUUUGCCCUUUCGGUCGCAGGCGCAGUUGUACGCGUCCGCGGUAGGUGGAGGCUCUUGGUCGUCGGACGACGAGAUGCAGUUGUCGCUGCCGUCGGAUAGGAUGAUGAGACCCCUCAUCUGACGAACCGCCCUGUCGUGCUCCUGCUUCAGCCUUGCCACCCGAUCCUUCACUGUCGUUGCCUCCUUCGCCUCGCGCUCCGACUGCUCAAUAACUAGCCGGAGCCCCUUCACGUUCUUCCUUCGGAGGCGGCGAGCAUCUAUUUCUGCCGUCGUGAGGGAGCGGCGGUACACCCAGGCAAGGAGACGCGUGUCCUUGUUGGCGUCCGACUCCGUCCCGCGGUGGCGCGCGACUGCUCUGCUGCCUCCCUCUCUCGUGCAUGCCGCCUCUCGUGGCGCGCGGCGCACACCUCCGACUCCGGAGUGCGCGUGCGGGCCGGAGGCGCGGGCACAAACACCCAGCGCUGGUUGUGUGCAGGAGCGGCCAGCGGGGGAAGGAGACAACGCGGGUCCAACACAGACUGUGCUGACCGGGCGUUGUUGCGCGUGGGUCGGGAGGGUCUAACUCCGGCGGCCGCGCUGCACCGGCGCAGGAGCUGCGGCAACGCUCCAGAUUUGGAGCUGACGCCGAUCUCCACCUUCGAGCGCUGCAGUGAAAUGCGGACGACCAUCUCCUCCUUAUAGUCGAGCUCCGAGCCAGAGUCGCUGCCCGACCUGCUCAUGAUGGUGGAUGGGAUCGGAACCGAAGAGGGAGAGGAGUGGACAGACGGAGCGAGAGAGGGAAAGAGUGAACUAGGGUUUGAGCUCGCCAUCCGGAUUGGGGUUUUUUAUGGAGUCGGUGGUGGACCGGGCCGUGAGGCGGACGUGCUCGGGUGUGCCCGUGCCGCCUCAUAUCUGCCUUAUAUUUGGGUUAUAUAUGAGGGGUGUCGGUCAGCCCGGGCAUUUGUCCGCAGUUUGAGAGUUUCGGUUGGGUUGAUUUUUUUUUUUGACCAAGCCCGGAUUGAGACGGGUAAUAGGGACACGACUGUAGAUGCUCUGAGCCCGGUUAUAGAAAAAGUUUGCCACGUUUCGUUCAGCCAUGUUGGCGAGGUGCCCCCCGCGGCUACGCGUGGACUAGUUGCACCCUGUAUAUACUGGCAUCGUAUCGGCUUGCGCACGCAUCCUCAAUUAUUCGUCUCACGCCUCCACUGCCCGCUGCCCCGGCCUCACCGACGCCCACCCAGGCCUAAGAAAAACCUCGAUUGUUCCCACCGCUAGGGUUUAUCUCGAGUGCAAUGUUGGUGCCAUGGUGGGAUUCGGAUUGGAAGGACCGCUCGAGGAUCGAGUACCGCACCUAUGUUGGCAACCUCUCCUAGAGCACCGAUGAGCGCUCGCUCAAGGAUGCCUUCCACGCCUACAGCCCGCUCAGCGCCGAGGUCAGUGAAGGUUUCUUGAUGUGAAGGCUUCGUCUUUGAUUUUAGUCCUCCACCUCUCUCUACAGUCCUAGAUCCUCCGCCGUCGCCCCCUCCCAUCUCCUCUCCGGUUAGCGCCAGGGACGAGUGGGGCCAGGGUCCCGCGCAUGUACGAUUGUGGUUGAUUUUAGAUCUUUCCUAGUAGUUUGCUCCCUUUUUCCGAUCCCCUUUAGGUGGCCGGUGGCUGUGUUCGUCGGCUUUGUGUAAUUCGUGUUCGUGCUUGGAAGUUGCUUGAUGGUACUGUAAUAUGAGGCUUUUACCCGCAAAAAAAAGUACACUUUGAUGUUUUGUUCAUUGCUUGCAAGUUUGUUAGUUUGGAUGGAUUGUACAUGUCACCUUGUUGUUUUCUAGGGUUUCUAGGUUUACUUUCCCUCGUUUACACAUAGAUCUGGUGAAGUUUCCUUGUGCGCUGACUCGCUCGUUCGUGUUUUGAUUUGUCAGAUCGUCACCGACCGGGAGACGGGCAGAUCCCGCAGGUUCGGCUUCGUCAACUUCGGGGACGACAACUCGAUGAACAACACCAUCCAGGGCAUGGACGGCCAGGAGCUUGGCGGCCGCACCAUCACCGUCAGCCGGGCCAAUCAGCGCCCCCGCCGCUGGAGGGCAUGAACAGCAACUAGGAGGUCGUCAGCCGGCCAUUAAAUCCACCAGCUUAUCAACUUAUCGUCUUGUUUAAGUUAUCAAGUCUCGUGUGGCAGUUUAGUUAUCAGUCUCGUGUGGUGGUUUAGUUUAUGGUCGUGAGAUGAGAUGGAACCUAUCGAAUGUCUAUCUAUCUGUAUUGCGUAUCGUUCGCUUAUGGCUGUUGAACAUGUACUAGUAUCGUUUAACCAACUGCAAUGGUGAAAAUGUAGUAGUAUCG
rnacentral:lncRNA from 1 species